rnacentral:rRNA from 1 species
GACGGAGGGGGCAAGCGGUGUUCGGAAUCACUGGGCGUAAAGCGCGUGUAGGCGGUCCGAUAAGUCGAGUGUGAAAGCCCGGGGCUCAACCUCGGAAGUGCACUCGAAACUGCUGGGCUUGAGUACGGGAGAGGGAAGCGGAAUUCCUGGUGUAGAGGUGAAAUUCGUAGAUAUCAGGAGGAACACCGGUGGCGAAGGCGGCUUCCUGGACCGAUACUGACGCUGAGACGCGAAAGCGUGGGGAGCAAACAGG